UUCUUGGCGAGUUUGAUCCUGGCUCAGAGCGAACGCUGGCGGCGUACUUAACACAUGCAAGUCGAACGGGGAGUGUCGGUGUAGCAAUACAUCGGCGCUUCGAGUGGCGCACGGGUGAGUAACACGUGGGUAACCUGCCCUUGAGUUCGGGAUACCCUCUCGAAAGGGAGGCUAAUACCGGAUACGUUCCUCGGGUCGCAAGACUUGGGGAGGAAAGGUAGCGCAAGCUGCCGCUCUUGGAGGGGCUCGCGGCCUAUCAGCUAGUUGGUGAGGUAACGGCUCACCAAGGCGACGACGGGUAGCUGGUCUGAGAGGACGACCAGCCACACGGGGACUGAGACACGGCCCCGACUCCUACGGGAGGCAGCAGUGGGGAAUUUUCCG
rnacentral:ncRNA from 1 species